GACGAACGCUGGCGGCGUGCUUAACACAUGCAAGUCGAACGGUGAACCUCUUCGGAGGGGAUCAGUGGCGAACGGGUGAGUAACACGUGGGCAACCUGCCCCCGGCUCUGGGAUAACUCCAAGAAAUUGGGGCUAAUACCGGAUGUUCACCGCUUCCCGCAUGGGUGGUGGUGGAAAGGGUUUCCGGCUGGGGAUGGGCCCGCGGCCUAUCAGCUUGUUGGUGGGGUAGUGGCCUACCAAGGCGACGACGGGUAGCCGGCCUGAGAGGGUGACCGGCCACACUGGGACUGAGACACGGCCCAGACUCCUACGGGAGGCAGCAGUGGGGAAUAUUGCGCAAUGGGCGGAAGCCUGACGCAGCGACGCCGCGUGGGGGAUGACGGCCUUCGGGUUGUAAACCUCUUUCAGCAGGGACGAAGCGCAAGUGACGGUACCUUCAGAAGAAGCACCGGCCAACUACGUG
rnacentral:rRNA from 1 species